rnacentral:lncRNA from 1 species
CAGAGUACCAUUUCUCAAAUAAUAAGCAUAUUAUUUCUCAAUUCCAUUUUCUUCUUGAGGAAAAUACAAUCUUCCCACCAAUUUUGUAUUCUUUCCAAGAUUGUGUGAACAAUUGUUGAGAUCGUUUGAUGCAAUUGGAAUAAAGAAUUUCCAUUGCAGUAUAGCCCUAAUCAAAAUCCUCAAAUUCAUGAACACUGUAAAGUUUCAGUUGAUCGCGAUAAAUCUUACUGAAUUCACCGAUUAACGAUCGUAACUUUGAUAAUUUUGAGUUAAAGAAGAAAAUGUCGUUUUCAUUUUUCAAGCCUUCUCGGCCUAAAACCCCACAGGAGCUGGCGAAGGCGAUCAAAGAUAGUCUCAUGGCUCUCGACACUAAAACGGUUGCGGAAGUUAAAGCCCUCGAAAAGGUCU